GUCUACAGCCAUCCUACCCUGAACGCGCCCACUUGAGUCUGAACUCGGAAGCUAAGCGGGUUGGGCCUGACUAGUACUUGGGUGGGAGAGAGGUCCCAGAGCUGGGGAGG
rnacentral:rRNA from 1 species